UACGAAGGGGGCUAGCGUUGCUCGGAAUCACUGGGCGUAAAGCGCACGUAGGCGGACUCUUAAGUCAGGGGUGAAAUCCUGGAGCUCAACUCCAGAACUGCCUUUGAUACUGGGAGUCUCGAGUUCGGGAGAGGUGAGUGGAACUGCGAGUGUAGAGGUGAAAUUCGUAGAUAUUCGCAAGAACACCAGUGGCGAAGGCGGCUCACUGGCCCGAUACUGACGCUGAGGCGCGAGAGCGUGGGGAGCAAACAGG
rnacentral:rRNA from 1 species